rnacentral:rRNA from 1 species
UACAGGGGGUGCAAACGUUGCUCGGAAUCAUUGGGCGUAAAGCGCACGUAGGCGGUUCGUUAUGUCGGAUGUGAAAGCCCUUGGCUUAACCGAGGAAGUGCAUCCGAAACUGGCGAGCUAGAGUACGAAAGAGGAUCGCGGAAUUCCCGGUGUAGAGGUGAAAUUCGUAGAUAUCGAGAGGAACACCGGUGGCGAAGGCGGCCAACUGGACGAAUACUGACGGUGAGAACACGAAAGCGUGGGGAGCAAACAGG